rnacentral:lncRNA from 1 species
UCUAAGCUCCACCCUGAGGGGUCCAGGGGCAGCUACUGGUGGAGGUGGAGGAACAGUGUUGACCUCCACAACAAGAGCUUCUACAGAAGUGCCAGAGUACCUACACUGGAAGAGAAACCUGGACAACAGACGGGGAGCUUAUAGCAUUUGCCAGAGAUGAACGAUUAAGAACAGCAUAGAUCACCUACUCAAAAUGGCUGUCCCUUGUGAUGGAACCAAAUGGUCCCAUCCCCACUUCAUACGAGGAGGUCAUUCUGUUCUCAUACACCACAUAACCACGGUCCUCCUGCAAAUAGCAACACUGUUGGCAUCCAGUCCAUCAUAGGCCAUGAAGAAUAAAACCAUAAGCAGCUACUCACCAUCAUUCUUGUACCACAUGCGGUCACAGGGAACUGGUAUACAGCAAAGGAAGGUGUGGACCCCACAGGACUGCAAGGUGGGUCAUUUCCACCCAGUAGAUGGACUGAAUCCAGACUCAGUCGAGGCAGCGUAACAUCUCUAGCCACCACUACCACAAACUGACCAUCUCUUAUACACUGGACAGUCACUGGAACGAAGGCACAAGACCAGGUUAAUGUCGAGGAUCAGUUUAACUGGGAGCAUAACACCGACUCACUCUUACCUGCCUUCCCAUAGUAACACUGCUGUCCGUUAAAGCAGCAGUUGAUAGCUUCACAUUCAGCACCACUGAUACCAGGUUGUCCACAUUGGAUCUGCUCAUAAUCAGCUACAGCACAUUUGUCCAAAGGCUCUGCCUUCGUCACUUGCUUCUGAAACUGAAACUUCUGAGGAAACUGCUGAUUAGUCUGUUGAGCUGGCUGCUGAAACUUCUGAGGAAACUGCAGAUUAGUUGGUUGAGCUGGCUGCUGAAACCACUGGUCAGUUUGUUGGAACAUCAGAGCUUGAAGAUUUUGAGCUGGAAGAUCCCUUUGUGGAACAGCAUUGCAAAUAGAGCAAACCAAAACACAUAGUGUUUGGAAGUAAAACGAAUGCCAAUUACUUUCCAUUACUACCCAACAAUGCAUAGUUUCAAACUGCCUUGGACUUGUAUUUG